UUAUAGAUACUGGAGUUGGUGCUGUUGCUAUAGAUACUGGAGUUGGUACUGUUGCUAUAGAUACUGGAGUUGGUGCUGUUGCUAUAGAUACUGGAGUUGUUGGUGCUGCUGUUGCUAUAGAUACUGGAGUUGGUGCUGUUGCUUUAGAUACUGGAGUUGGUGCUGUUGCUAUAGAUACUGGAGUUGGUGCUGUUGCUGCUAUAGAUACUGGAGUUGGUGUUGUUGCUAUAGAUACUGGAGUUGGUGCUGUUGCUAUAGAUACUGGAGUUGCUGCUGUUGCUAUAGAUACUGGAGCUGGUGCUGUUGCUAUAGAUACUGGAGUUGGUGCUGCUGUUGCUAUAGAUACUGGAGUUGGUGCUGUUGCUAUAGAUACUGGAGUUGGUGCUGUUGCUAUAGAUACUGGAGCUGGUGCUGUUGCUAUAGAUACUGGAGUUGCUGCUGUUGCUAUAGAUACUGUUGCUAUAGAUACUGGAGUUGGUGCUGUUGCUAUGGAUACUGG
ensembl:lncRNA